ACACACAUAUCAAUGAAGAUCGAUCGACAUAUCUAUUAUUUAGGCCUUGUUUAGUUGCCACAAAAACCAACAUUAUUUUAAGAUUCUCUGUCACAUUGAAUCCUACGACACAUGCAUGGAACAUUAAAUAUAGAUAAAAACAAAAACUAAUUGCACAGUUUGCAUGUAAAUCGCGAGACGAAUCUUUUAAAUCUAGUUACUUCAUGAUUAGUCAAUGUUUGUCAAAUAAAAACGAAAGUGCUGCCGAAGCGAAAUUCAAAAAAUUUUCACAACUAAACAAGACCUUAUUCUGCUUAACACAGCUUCUCCUGAUUUUGACUUGACCACGACAUAGGCCUUGUUUAGUUGACCCUGAAAACCAAAAAGUUUUCAAGAUUUCCCGUCACAUCGAAUCUUGUAUCACAUACAUGAAAAAUCAAAUAUAGACAAAAACAAAAACUAAUUACACAGUUUAGCUGUAAAUCACGAGACGAAUCUUUUAUCCUAGUUAGUCCAUGAUUGGAUAAUAUUUGUCACAAACAAACGAAAAUGCUACAAUACCGAAAACUUUUCACUUUUCGGAACUUUCGUGUGGAAAGCAGGGACGAAGGAGGAGGAGCUCGAGGACAUUAAAAAGAAAAAAGAAAAGCGCCGAGCGCGGUUUAGGGGCCAGGCUGCCAGAGAAUGUGCGGCUGCGCGCGUCGUCGUCGUCCUCUGUACUGUACAGCACCG
rnacentral:lncRNA from 1 species